GUUUAAUAGUUUCUUACACAGUAGAAGAGCAACUAAAGAAAAAAAAAGAGACAAAGAAAAAUCUUUCCCCCUCCCUCCAAUCUCCAAAAGUAUACCACCCCCAAGUUUUCAAAAAUUGAAUUGGAAAGCCAAUGACAGUAGAGUUUGUGCCCACUGCCUCUCGUCCGAUCACCGAGAACCACUGAAAAGCACCUUGCUCUCUAUGCUUUGCACCAUCCCUGCAGACCUGCAAGAAGGCAACAAAGGAGUUCCUGCUGAAAUCCCCGAAGCCAAAAGAGCAAGCUUGACCACUUCAGAGUAUAAGCAAGAGUUUGUACUGUGGUCUUCAGUUGGCAACUGACCAAC
ensembl:lncRNA